UACGUAGGGUGCGAGCGUUGCCCGGAAUUAUUGGGCGUAAAGGGCGCGUAGGCGGCCUGGCAAGUGGAAGGUGAAAUCCCUCGGCUUAACCGAGGAACUGCCCUCCAAACUGCUUGGCUUGAGUCCGGGAGAGGUGAGUGGAAUUCCCAGUGUAGCGGUGAAAUGCGUAGAUAUUGGGAGGAACACCAGUGGCGAAGGCGGCUCACUGGACCGGAACUGACGCUGAGGCGCGAAAGCGUGGGGAGCAAACGGG
rnacentral:rRNA from 1 species